AACGAACGCUGGCGGCAUGCCUAACACAUGCAAGUCGAACGAGACCUUCGGGUCUGGUGGCGCACGGGUGCGUCACGCGUGGGAACCUGCCCUUAGGUACGGAAUACCUCCCCGUAGGGGGUGCUAAUACCGGAUAAUGUCCUCGGACCAAAGAUUUAUCGCCUUUGGAUGGGCACGCGUUGGAUUAGCUAGUUGGUAGGGUAAAAGCCUACCACGGCGAGGAUCCAUAGCUGGUCUGAGAGGAUGAGCCGCCACACUGGGACUGAGACACGGUGCAGACUCCUACGGGAGGCAGCAGUGGGGGAUACUGGACAACGGGGUAAGUCCUGAACCAGUAAGGCCGGGUGAGUGCUGAAGGCGUUAGGGUAGUAAAGCUCUUUUACCCGGGAUGAUAAUGACAGUACCGGGAGAAUAAGCUCCGGCUAACUCCGUG
rnacentral:rRNA from 1 species